rnacentral:lncRNA from 1 species
CCUCAUCACUGCCAUCAGCAUCAGUGUCAUCAUUGCCAUGGCAACGACAAAGCUAGUGGUCCAAGGGAGGCCUAGGUGGGUUUCUUAGAAUUGUCUUUAUAGAAGCACUGCCACAAGGUGGCAUCAGAGAUCACACUGGGUAGUUACAUCGCCUUGACACAUAAGGAUGUGUGCACAGUCACUGGUCUGAACUCAUUCUACAAGCCUUCCCUGCCCUC